rnacentral:rRNA from 1 species
AAUGGAAAUGUGCGUCCAAGCAGUGAGUGUGAGAAGUAGGCAAAUCCGCUUCUCGCGAAGCAUGAGCUGUGAUGGGGAAGGAAAUUAAGUACGGAAGUUCCUGAUUUCACGCUGUCAAGAAAAGCCUCUAGGAAGAGUAGUACUGCCCGUACCGCAAACCGACACAGGUAGAUGAGGAGAGAAUCCUAAGGUGAGCGAGAGAACUCUCGUUAAGGAACUCGGCAAAAUGACCCCGUAACUUCGGGAGAAGGGGUGCUCUAUUAGGGUGCAAGCCCGAGAGAGCCGCAGUGAAUAGGCCCAGGCGACUGUUUAGCAAAAACACAGGUCUCUGCAAAACCGUAAGGUGACGUAUAGGGGCUGACGCCUGCCCGGUGCUGGAAGGUUAAGAGGAGUGCUUAGCUUCGGCGAAGGUACGAAUUGAAGCCCCAGUAAACGGCGGCCGUAACUAUAACGGUCCUAAGGUAGCGAAAUUCCUUGUCGGGUAAGUUCCGACCCGCACGAAAGGCGCAACGAUCUGGGCACUGUCUCAACGAGAGACUCGGUGAAAUUAUAGUACCUGUGAAGAUGCAGGUUACCCGCGACAGGACGGAAAGACCCCGUGGAGCUUUACUGCAACCUGAUAUGGAAUGUUUGUACCGCUUGUACAGGAUAGGUAGGAGCCGAAGAGACGUGUGCGCUAGCAUACGAGGAGGCAAUGGUGGGAUACUCCCCUGGCUGUAUGACCAUUCUAACCCGCCACGCUUAGCGCGUGGGGAGACAGUGUCAGGUGGGCAGUUUGACUGGGG